rnacentral:rRNA from 1 species
AACGAACGCUGGCGGCAGGCCUAACACAUGCAAGUCGAGCGAGGACUUCGGUCCUAGCGGCGGACGGGGGUAGAACGCGUCGGAACGUGCCCUUUUCUUCAGAAUAGCCCUGGGAAACUGGGAGUAUUACCGGAUGAGCCCUUUUGGCGGAAGAUGUAUCGGCGAAGUAUCGGCCCGCGUUGGAUUAGGUAGUUGGUAGGGUUAUGGCCUACCAAGCCGACGAUCCAUAGCUGGGUUGUGAGGAUGAUCAGCCACACUGAGACUGAGACACGGCCCAGAAUCCUACGGGAUGCAGGAGUGGCGGAUCUAAGACAGUCGGGGGAGCCCUGAACUAGCCAUGCCGCGUAAGCGAUGAUGGCCGUAGAGUUGUAAAGUUCUAUUAACUAUGAAGAUAAUGACGGUACCAGAAGAAGAAGCCCCGGCUAACUACGUG